CCUACGGGGGGCAGCAGUGAGGAAUAUUGGUCAAUGGGCUUACGCCUGAACCAGCCAAGUCGCGUGAGGGAAGACUGCCCUAUGGGUUGUAAACCUCUUUUGUCAGGGAGCAACGCCGGCUACGUGUAGCCGGACUGAGAGUACCUGAAGAAAAAGCAUCGGCUAACUCCGUGCCAGCAGCCGCGGUAAUACGGAGGAUGCGAGCGUUAUCCGGAUUUAUUGGGUUUAAAGGGUGCGUAGGCGGAAUGCCAAGUCAGCGGUAAAAGCGCGGGGCUCAACCUCGCUCCGCAGUUGAAACUGGCGUUCUUGAGUGGGCGAGAAGUAUGCGGAAUGCGUGGUGUAGCGGUGAAAUGCAUAGAUAUCACGCAGAACUCCGAUUGCGAAGGCAGCAUACCGGCGCCCAACUGACGCUGAAGCACGAAAGCGUGGGUAUCGAACAGGAUUAGAUACCCUAGUAGUC
rnacentral:rRNA from 1 species